CUGCAUCUUUGACAGCCUGGGCUCUCUGCUGUGAGACAUCCUGGGUUUUACACUUUCAGAUGCUAAAUGAAAAGUCCCUGCGCUUUCUGCCUGCCUUUCUUCAUGGCAUCUCAGAUUGAAUCGGGGAGGACAAAU